UUGGAGGGCAAGUCUGGUGCCAGCAGCCGCGGUAAUUCCAGCUCCAAUAGCGUAUAUUAAAGUUGUUGCAGUUAAAAAGCUCGUAGUUGAAUUUCGGGAUCAAGGGAUCGGUCAUGCCUUGGUAUGUACUGGUUUUAUUGGUUCUCACCUUCUAAAGAACCAUAAUGUCAUUUAUUUGAUGUUAUGGGGAAUUAGGACUGUUACCUUGAAAAAAUUAGAGUGUUUAAAGCAAGCUUACGCUUGAAUACAUUAGCAUGGAAUAAUGAAAUAGGACAUCAGAUUCUAUUUUGUUGGUUUCUAGGAUCGAUGUAAUGAUUAAUAGGGAUAGUUGGGGGCAUUAGUAUUCAAUUGUCAGAGGUGAAAUUCUUGGAUUUAUUGAAGACUAACUACUGCGAAAGCAUUUGCCAAGGAUGUUUUCAUUAAUCAAGAACGAAAGUUAGGGGAUCGAAGACGAUCAGAUACCGUCGUAGUCUUAACCAUAAACUAUGCCGACUAGGGAUCGGAUGAUGUUAAUUUUUUAAUGACUCAUUCGGCACCUUACGGGAAACCAAAGUGUUUGGGUUC
rnacentral:rRNA from 1 species